rnacentral:rRNA from 1 species
GAUGAACACUGGCGGCGUGCUUAACACAUGCAAGUCGAACGCACCUUCGGGUGAGUGGCGGACGGGUGAGUAACGCGUGAGAAUCUGCCCCAAGGAGGGGGAUAACGGCUGGAAACGGCCGCUAAUACCCCAUAUGCCGCGAGGUGAAAUGAAUUUCGCCUUGGGAUGAGCUCGCGUCUGAUUAGCUAGUUGGUGGGGUAAAGGCCUACCAAGGCAUCGAUCAGUAGCUGGUCUGAGAGGAUGAUCAGCCACACUGGGACUGAGACACGGCCCAGACUCCUACGGGAGGCAGCAGUGGGGAAUUCUCCGCAAUGGGCGAAAGCCUGACGGAGCAAGACCGCGUGGGGAGAGGCUC